rnacentral:rRNA from 1 species
UACGGGGGGGGGCAAGCGUUGUUCGGAAUUACUGGGCGUAAAGGGCUUGUAGGUGGCCAACUAAGUCAGACGUGAAAUCCCUCGGCUUAACCGGGGAACUGCGUCUGAUACUGGAUGGCUUGAGUGUGGGAGAGGGAUGCGGAAUUCCAGGUGUAGCGGUGAAAUGCGUAGAUAUCUGGAGGAACACCGGUGGCGAAGGCGGCAUCCUGGACCAUUACUGACACUGAGAAGCGAAAGCCAGGGGAGCAAACGGG